UCCUCUUUACAGAGGCAGUUUGAUCCGAGUUCCCGACUUUACUCGCUGGCAACAGAUCAUGAGGGUUGCGCUCGUUGCGGGACUUAACCCAACAUUUCACAACACGAGCUGACGACAGCCAUGCACCACCUGUGCUACACCCUCGAAGGCGACCGCUUUUCGGCGGCUUGCAGUAGCAUGUCAAGUCCUGGUAAGGUUCUUCGCGUUGCAUCGAAUUAAGCCAUAUGCUCCACCGCUUGUGCGGGCCCCCGCCAAUUCCUUUGAGUUUCAACCUUGCGGCCGUAGUCCCCAGGCGGUUCACUUAAUGCGUUAGCUGCGGCACCGAGGGAAACCCCCAACACCUAGUGAACAUCGUUUAUGGCCAAGACUAC
rnacentral:misc_RNA from 1 species